CGCCACCCGACCCGGUAACCCGAACCCGAUAAUUGAGAGAGGUUUCGGAUAUUUCGGAUUGGAUAUCCAGAAAUUUUCAGAUCAGAUUCGGAUCAGACUUUUUGCGCUUUCAGGUAUUUCGAAUAUCCGAAAUAUCCGAUUUUUACAUUAAAUAAUAAAAUAAUAUGGAAAAAAUAAAAGAAAAAUAGCAAAAAAGGUAAAAAAAAUAUGCAUUGAUCUGCGAUCCGAUCCGAAAUUUCGGAUAUCGGAUCGGAGUUGGUGGUUCGGAUAUUUCGGAUAUCCGACUUUUCGGAUUUGAUUAUCCGGUUUGAACACCCCUAGAACAAACACAUCAAUAUAACAUAAAAAAUAAAAGGAGUAUUUGAAUUGUUGAAUUCAAUACUAUUUUGUAACAUCUAUAUGAUAUAAUGCUCUCAUUACUCAUUCUUGUGCUGUUAUUACUCCCCAAUCCUAUGUGCCGUACUCCUAUAAAUAAAAAAACAAAAAUGCUCUCCUAUAUAGUCAUGUCAAUCUCUCUUUCUUCUCUUGUGAUUCUACCCUCUGUUCUCGUCAAAAAAAAGAUUCUACCCUCUGUUCGGUCACCUCUGUUUCUGUCCUCUAUGGUCACCUCUCGUUCCCUCUUUCUCUUUCCUCCAUUAUUUUUCUGCUGUAUCUUUCUCUUUUCUUUUCCAUUAUUAUCUCUCGUUUCCUCCAUUAUUAUUUUACGUUGGCUUACGUUGCAUUGUUCACAAACUUAUUUUCUUCUUUUCCGUUACCCUUCUUUUCCAUUAUCUUCUCAUUCUAUGCUCUUUCAUGACCCUUCUUUUUGAAGCUAUGUGUUUGGUAAGGUAUUUUCACAGCUUGGAAACGGAUUCAAAAAUUCUUUUCCGUUACACAACAAUGGCGGAAUCAUGCUCGUUUGUUCUCGUUUGAUUAGAAAACAGAGUAAAAAGAAUGGCGGAAUCAAAAUCAUCAUUAGCAACCUCAUCUUGCAUUCAUCGGGUGUAAUUACGGGUGCCGUUGGAGCUGCUUACAAACCAUGUCCGGACUGCUUUCAUAUUCCAUUUUUUCCUACGAGAAUUCUUCUCGAUGGAUAAUUAAGGCCAUACUCCAAGCAAUUCAGUGGAUGAACAAAGAAGGAUGGACUCAUAUGACUAUUUACUCUGACUGCAAGGUAGCUGUGCAAGGUGCCAAUGGCCUAUUCUGUAAUAGUGAUUUGUUCUAUAAUAUAUAUACUACUUGCAGAGAACAGAAACAUGCAUCGACUCAAAUUAAAUGGCGGACCAGAAGGCUGAAUCAGUGUGCUGAUCUCAUUGCAAAGGGGUUUCGAGGUGCAGCUGUGGAAUGUAACAAACUACUGGAAUUUGAUAAACCUUGUAAUUUCGAUGUUAUGAAUUGUAACUCUGAUCAUUGGAGUAAUUAUCUUGAAGGGAUUAGCCCUUACUUCUCACAAAACCUGGGUUCGUGCCUAAUACAUCAAUCAGGUUCAGGAGUUAACUGGUUUGAGGGACACAACCCUUCAAUAAAUUCAGUACAGAUACUGGCCGUGGCCUUA